CUUUUUAACAAAUACCUAAAAUUCUAUAUAUAUGUUUUUGAAAACUAACCUAUUUACACAUUAAUUUUGUCAGAUAUAUUUAUAUAAAUAAAACUUUUCAUUUUAAUCCACUGUCCUCGAGCAAAUAGCAAUAGACUCGAUGAUUAGUAUUCGAAAUUCUAAGUUUGAAGCGGUAGUAUGCCGCCAACUUCAAAUCAAAUUUCAACUUUUUGGCCAUAGAAGAAGUAAGAAUUUCAAAUUAUUU
rnacentral:lncRNA from 1 species